AGUAACGCGUGAGUAACCUGCCUUUCAGAGGGGGAUAACGUUCUGAAAAGAACGCUAAUACCGCAUGAGACUACAGAGCUGCAUGGCUCAGUGGUCAAAGGAGCAAUCCGCUGAAAGAUGGACUCGCGUCCGAUUAGAUAGUAGGCGGGGUAACGGCCCACCUAGUCGACGAUCGGUAGCCGGACUGAGAGGUUGAACGGUCACAUUGGGACUGAGACACGGCCCAGACUCCUACGGGAGGCAGCAUG
rnacentral:rRNA from 1 species